AUGCAGAGGGCCCCGGGGUCGGGGCAACUCUCAGGCCGCCGCGGAAAGCACCCUGGAAUCACUGGCGAAGACAGGCCUUUCCUGCUGAGCCGGGCCUGUCUGCACAGCCACUCAGAAAGGGGAACUGAGACCCAUGGAUAUACAGCAAGUCCCCUGGAGUCCUGCCUCCUAGUCUGGGGACUCUUCUCUGCACUUUGAUGACCUGAGAGAACUGGGAAGAGAAAAGGGUUGUGACAGUGACCAGAACUCAGGGCAGAGGUGGACAACCAGAGUGCCUGAUGUGUGCAGCUGACCCCCCACCCAGGACCCCUUUCUACUGGAGUCUGUGGAACCAGAGAGCUGGGAGGCCAUCGUGAGGUGCUGAGAGGACCUGGGUAGCUCAGGUAUGCUAGGCUGCCCUCAUAGGAUGCAAUGGGGUGGGGGAAGGACCCCCUUCCUACUCCUGGCCCAGAUUAGCCCACCCAGUCUCAAGAGCCACAGAGGCCAGGUGGGGCUGCCCUGCCCUUCAGAGGCAACUCCCUGAACUGACACAUGACGCCUCCGGGCUCCAGGAAGCUCCCUGGAGCCCAGCCUGCCUGGGGACCCCACCCAUCUUCCAAAAGAGCAUUCCUGGGUCCUGAGGUCUGGGGGUGGUGCCUCCUGGGAUUGUAAGGGUGGGAAGGUACAGCUGUGGGAGGAUGCAGGACUGUGUCUACCAGCCUACAAAUGUGCAAGGCAUCUUGUGUGCAAGCAGGCGUGUGUAGGGCUCUGUCCUGAGGGUUCUGUAUGUGAGAGUUAUAUAAGUGGAUUGGGCUGGAGGAUGUCCGGGGUCUGUGAAUGUGGUACAUUGGAGUGGUGAGUGUGCAAGAUUGCGUGUGGGCAGGUGUGAGAAUACUGGAGUGUUGUGUGUACCACACUGGAUGGUAUAUGUGUGCAGGGUGCUAGUGUCCACUGGAGAGGUAUGUAGACAAGAAUCUGAACACACUGAGGUGAUCUGUGGGUACGCUGGGAUUACGUAGUGUGUGUACACAGGAAUCUCUCCGCGUGUCACUGGGGAAGCGUGUGUUCAGGGUUCUGGGUGCACACUGGGGGAGGUGUGUGCACGUGGCUCCAUUUGUGCUUUGGAGGUGGGCUGGGCAAGCCUUCAGUUGAGCUGGGCUCAGCAGUGCCCAGCCUUGUGGCCAAAUCGCUGAAGUCACUUCCUUUCCUGCAGCAACUU
rnacentral:lncRNA from 1 species